rnacentral:rRNA from 2 species
UUAAGCGACUAAGCGUACACGGUGGAUGCCCUGGCAGUCAGAGGCGAUGAAGGACGUGCUAAUCUGCGAAAAGCGUCGGUAAGGUGAUAUGAACCGUUAUAACCGGCGAUGUCCGAAUGGGGAAACCCAGUGUGAUUCGUCACACUAUCGUUAACUGAAUACAUAGGUUAACGAGGCGAACCGGGGGAACUGAAACAUCUAAGUACCCCGAGGAAAAGAAAUCAACCGAGAUUCCCCCAGUAGCGGCGAGCGAACGGGGAGCAGCCCAGAGUCUGAAUCAGCUUGUGUGUUAGUGGAACGGUCUGGAAAGUCCGACGGUACAGGGUGAUAGUCCCGUACACCAAAAUGCACAGGCUGUGAACUCGAAGAGUAGGGCGGGACACGUGGUAUCCUGUCUGAAUAUGGGGGGACCAUCCUCCAAGGCUAAAUACUCCUGACUGACCGAUAGUGAACCAGUACCGUGAGGGAAAGGCGAAAAGAACCCCGGCGAGGGGAGUGAAAAAGAACCUGAAACCGUGUACGUACAAGCAGUGGGAGCACCUUCGGGUGUGACUGCGUACCUUUUGUAUAAUGGGUCAGCGACUUAUAUUCUGUAGCAAGGUUAACCGUAUAGGGGAGCCGCAGGGAAACCGAGUCUUAACUGGGCGUUAAGUUGCAGGGUAUAGACCCGAAACCCGGUGAUCUAGCCAUGGGCAGGUUGAAGGUUGGGUAACACUAACUGGAGGACCGAACCGACUAAUGUUGAAAAAUUAGCGGAUGACUUGUGGCUGGGGGUGAAAGGCCAAUCAAACCGGGAGAUAGCUGGUUCUCCCCGAAAGCUAUUUAGGUAGCGCCUCGUGAACUCAUCUUCGGGGGUAGAGCACUGUUUCGGCUAGGGGGUCAUCCCGACUUACCAACCCGAUGCAAACUACGAAUACCGAAGAAUGUUAUCACGGGAGACACACGGCGGGUGCUAACGUCCGUCGUGAAGAGGGAAACAACCCAGACCGCCAGCUAAGGUCCCAAAGUCAUGGUUAAGUGGGAAACGAUGUGGGAAGGCACAGACAGCCAGGAUGUUGGCUUAGAAGCAGCCAUCAUUUAAAGAAAGCGUAAUAGCUCACUGGUCGAGUCGGCCUGCGCGGAAGAUGUAACGGGGCUAAACCAUGCACCGAAGCUGCGGCAGCGACACUAUGUGUUGUUGGGUAGGGGAGCGUUCUGUAAGCCUGCGAAGGUGUGCUGUGAGGCAUGCUGGAGGUAUCAGAAGUGCGAAUGCUGACAUAAGUAACGAUAAAGCGGGUGAAAAGCCCGCUCGCCGGAAGACCAAGGGUUCCUGUCCAACGUUAAUCGGGGCAGGGUGAGUCGACCCCUAAGGCGAGGCCGAAAGGCGUAGUCGAUGGGAAACAGGUUAAUAUUCCUGUACUUGGUGUUACUGCGAAGGGGGGACGGAGAAGGCUAUGUUAGCCGGGCGACGGUUGUCCCGGUUUAAGCAUGUAGGCUGGUUGUCCAGGCAAAUCCGGAUAAUCAAGGCUGAGGUGUGAUGACGAGGCACUACGGUGCUGAAGUAACAAAUGCCCUGCUUCCAGGAAAAGCCUCUAAGCAUCAGGUAACAUCAAAUCGUACCCCAAACCGACACAGGUGGUCAGGUAGAGAAUACCAAGGCGCUUGAGAGAACUCGGGUGAAGGAACUAGGCAAAAUGGUGCCGUAACUUCGGGAGAAGGCACGCUGGUGUGUAGGUGAAGUCCCUGCGGAUGGAGCUGAGACCAGUCGAAGAUACCAGCUGGCUGCAACUGUUUAUUAAAAACACAGCACUGUGCAAACACGAAAGUGGACGUAUACGGUGUGACGCCUGCCCGGUGCCGGAAGGUUAAUUGAUGGGGUUAUCCGUAAGGAGAAGCUCUUGAUCGAAGCCCCGGUAAACGGCGGCCGUAACUAUAACGGUCCUAAGGUAGCGAAAUUCCUUGUCGGGUAAGUUCCGACCUGCACGAAUGGCGUAAUGAUGGCCAGGCUGUCUCCACCCGAGACUCAGUGAAAUUGAACUCGCUGUGAAGAUGCAGUGUACCCGCGGCAAGACGGAAAGACCCCGUGAACCUUUACUAUAGCUUGACACUGAACAUUGAGCCUUGAUGUGUAGGAUAGGUGGGAGGCUUUGAAGCGUGGACGCCAGUCUGCGUGGAGCCAACCUUGAAAUACCACCCUUUAAUGUUUGAUGUUCUAACGUUGGCCCCUGACCGGGGUUGCGGACAGUGUCUGGUGGGUAGUUUGACUGGGGCGGUCUCCUCCCAAAGCGUAACGGAGGAGCACGAAGGUUAGCUAAUCCUGGUCGGACAUCAGGAGGUUAGUGCAAUGGCAUAAGCUAGCUUGACUGCGAGCGUGACGGCGCGAGCAGGUGCGAAAGCAGGUCAUAGUGAUCCGGUGGUUCUGAAUGGAAGGGCCAUCGCUCAACGGAUAAAAGGUACUCCGGGGAUAACAGGCUGAUACCGCCCAAGAGUUCAUAUCGACGGCGGUGUUUGGCACCUCGAUGUCGGCUCAUCACAUCCUGGGGCUGAAGUAGGUCCCAAGGGUAUGGCUGUUCGCCAUUUAAAGUGGUACGCGAGCUGGGUUUAGAACGUCGUGAGACAGUUCGGUCCCUAUCUGCCGUGGGCGCUGGAGAAUUGAGGGGGGCUGCUCCUAGUACGAGAGGACCGGAGUGGACGCAUCACUGGUGUUCGGGUUGUCAUGCCAAUGGCACUGCCCGGUAGCUAAAUGCGGAAGAGAUAAGUGCUGAAAGCAUCUAAGCACGAAACUUGCCCCGAGAUGAGUUCUCCCUGAGACUUUAAGUCUCCUGAAGGAACGUUGAAGACGACGACGUUGAUAGGCCGGGUGUGUAAGCGCAGCGAUGCGUUGAGCUAACCGGUACUAAUGAACCGUGAGGCUUAACCUU